GGCCUGGUGGCGAAAUGGUAUCGCGUCAGAUUUCGGCUAGAGUUUAGAACCUCUAAUAAACCGUUAUCCAUUCUCUGAAGAUUGCGGGUUCGAAUCCCGUCUGGGUCG